UGAAUCAGUAUGGUGUUCUGGCUGCCUCUCAGGAGAGAUCCGAAAGAUGUCUUGAGGUUGACUGGUGUGCAGAAAAUAGUCAGAUCCAGAUAUUUAAUCCUGUGGAGAAUCAGCUUGAAGUUGAAAAAGUAACUUCUGUUUAUUGCAACUGCCAGAAUCUCCCAACCUUUCACUACACUGGUAUCUGAGAGAAACAAACCCAGGACCAGCCAGGCAAGGUUUUUGAUCGGGUCCUGCUCCGAAUGUCAUUAAAGUGUGUCAGCUUUCAAGUUAUCCAGAAGUCUUCAUCAGAGACAAGAUUUAGAAGAUGCACAAUUAGAAGUGACUUCCAGAAAUCGAACAGAACAGAAAUACAUUUCUUCUCAGCCAGGAAAGGAAGGACAGAUGUGGUGAUUGGGAAGCGUGCAGAGUAAAGGAGUCUAAUUGCUGGCAGGUCAUGAGCCUUCCUCGAGAACAGCUGUGUCUCCUGUAGAACUGGUGGGAGAAAGCCAGAGAAGAAGGACAAGAGAAGGGAGUAAAAGGGAGAGAAGGAAUGGUGCUAUGUUUUUGCUUGAACUACGAUAGGGUCCGUCCGCUGGAAGGAAAGCCAGAAAUCUGGUCUGACCACUCCAACUUGAGUCCCUACUGUUUUGACGGCUCCUGUCACAAAUCGUUUCACGUAGAGAUGAUGGCACGCCAGUCCAAACUCAUCUUGAAGUUCUACCACCAGCAGAC